AGUUAAGUUAGAAAGGGCGCACGGUGGAUGCCUUGGCACUAGGAGCCGAUGAAGGACGGGAUUAACACCGAUAUGCUUUGGGGAGCUGUAAGUAAGCUUUGAUCCAGAGAUUUCCGAAUGGGGGAACCCUCUAUCCGUAAUGGGAUAGAAUCUUUACCUGAAUACAUAGGGUACUGAAGGCAGACCCGGGGAACUGAAACAUCUAAGUACCCGGAGGAAGAGAAAGCAAACGCGAUUCCCUGAGUAGCGGCGAGCGAAACGGGAUUAGCCCAAACCAAGAGGCUUGCCUCUUGGGGUUGUAGGACACUCUAUACGGAGUUACAAAGGAAUGAAGUAAACGAACAAGUCUGGAAAGGCUGGUCAUAGAAGGUAACAACCCUGUAGUUGAAACUUCGUUCCCUCUUGAGUGUAUCCUGAGUACGGCGGGACACGUGAAAUCCCGUCGGAAGCAGGGAGGACCAUCUCCCAAGGCUAAAUACUCCCUAGUGACCGAUAGUGAACCAGUACCGUGAGGGAAAGGUGAAAAGC
rnacentral:rRNA from 1 species